rnacentral:rRNA from 1 species
UCCGAAGGGGGCAAGCGUUGUUCGGAAUUACUGGGCGUAAAGGGCGCGUAGGCGGUCUGGUCAGUCGGGCGUGAAAGCCCCGGGCUCAACCUGGGAGGUGCGUCCGAGACGGGCAGGCUUGAGGUCGGAAGAGGGUGGUGGAAUUCCCAGUGUAGAGGUGAAAUUCGUAGAUAUUGGGAAGAACACCGGUGGCGAAGGCGGCCACCUGGUCCGCACCUGACGCUGAGGCGCGAAAGCGUGGGGAGAAAACAGG